rnacentral:rRNA from 1 species
GCCAGCAGGUAUAUCACCCUGCAACUCACAGCUCCGCAGGUGUGAGCCUGGCCAGUACCUGGGUGGGAGACCUCCUGGGAAAGCCAAGGCUGCUGCUGGAA